rnacentral:rRNA from 1 species
GACGAACGCUGGCGGCGUGCUUAACACAUGCAAGUCGAACGCCCCGCAAGGGGAGUGGCAGACGGGUGAGUAACACGUGGGAACGUACCCUUUGGUUCGGAAUAACUUGGGGAAACUCAAGCUAAUACCGGAUAAGCCCUUAUGGGGAAAGGUUUACUGCCGAAGGAUCGGCCCGCGUCGGGUUAGCUAGUUGGUGAGGUAAUGGCUCACCAAGGCGACGAUCAGUAGCUGGUCGGAGAGGAUGAUCAGCCACACUGGGACUGAGACACGGCCCAGACUCCUACGGGAGGCAGCAGUGGGGAAUAUUGGACAAUGGGGGCAACCCUGAUCCAGCCAUGCCGCGUGAGUGAUGAAGGCCUUAGGGUUGUAAAGCUCUUUUACCCGGGACGAUAAUGACUGUACCGGGAGAAUAAGCCCCGGCUAACUUCGUGCCAGCCGCCGCAGUAA